AUUUUUUCAUGAGACACAGAGAGAGGCAGAGACACAGGCAGAGGGAGAAGCAGGCUCCACGUGGGGAGCCCGAUGCGGGACACGAUCCCAGGACCCCAGGGUCACGCCCUGGGCUGAAGGCGGCGCUCAACCACCGAGCCCCCCAGGUGCCCGGCCGUGCACCUUUAAGAUGCCUUUGAAGGGUGACCUGUAGCAGGGGCACAGCCCUGCCAGUAACACAGACAGACCAAGGGGCGAACAGAGCGCGGAGGACCAGGACAGAAAGCUGACCCUGAGAGUCUGGACACCUGGCCGCAGACCUCCACUAGCCCCUAGUGCUGUGUGACGUCAGACCAGCCACAGCCCUCUCUGAGCUCUAGGGCAUGAAGAUACCAGGUUCUGUGUUUUCUCUGUUCCCGCUGCAGGACGUGGCCCAGCACCCGGGGCAGAGGCUGAGGGCAGGGCAGGCUGGCGGCAGGCCGGGCCCAGGCUCCAGAGGGCGCGACGGACAGUCAGUCGUUGAGGGCGCUCAGCUGGGCCGCUCCAGUCCUCUCCGAGCCGCCCUCGAGGAAAUCCUAACCAGCUCUCACAAACAUGUCAAGCCCAAAGCUGCUGUGUGUGUUUGAGCGGAGCUUCAGACAGCUACUUAACACCGGGGCCUCCGGGCCUUUGAUUCCUGCGCCCCUCGCCUUGCCCUCUCCCCCCGUCUGGCUGGUGUUUAUCGGCCAAGACGAUGUUUAAAUCACACUCGUUUCCUAUAAACAUUUCACUUGAAAUGCCAUCCGCUGCCCCAGAAAUUCAUCUAUCACCAGCUCGGGGUGUACUUGAGGAGCCUCCGGGCGAUGCUCCCCGUCUCUGUCCCCUGCCCCCCACCCCGCCUCCCCGACCCAUAUUCUCAGGUUUCACGCUGUAAGAACAACUUCCCCUCGGUGUAACAGGGCACUUAGUGCCAGGAUUAUUUAUAAGGCCGAGAUGGCAACGGGCGGUGGGGAGCAGCCCGGCCCGUGGACACUUCCUCUUGCAAAGCUCAAUAAACGGCCUGGAACGCUGUGUGCCA
rnacentral:lncRNA from 1 species